rnacentral:rRNA from 1 species
GGGUUGUGAGGUUAAGCGACUAAGCGUACACGGUGGAUGCCCUGGCAGUCAGAGGCGAUGAAGGGCGUGCUAAUCUGCGAUAAGCGCCGGUAAGGUGAUAUGAACCGUUAUAACCGGCGAUACCCGAAUGGGGAAACCCAGUGUGACUCGUCACACUAUCAUUAACUGAAUCCAUAGGUUAAUGAGGCGAACCGGGGGAACUGAAACAUCUAAGUACCCCGAGGAAAAGAAAUCAACCGAGAUUCCCCCAGUAGCGGCGAGCGAACGGGGAGGAGCCCAGAGCCUGAAUCAGCAUGUGUGUUAGUGGAAGCGUCUGGAAAGGCGCGCGAUACAGGGUGACAGCCCCGUACACAAAAGCGCAUGUGCUGUGAGCUCGAUGAGUAGGGCGGGACACGUGGUAUCCUGUCUGAAUAUGGGGGGACCAUCCUCCAAGGCUAAAUACUCCUGACUGACCGAUAGUGAACCAGUACCGUGAGGGAAAGGCGAAAAGAACCCCGGCGAGGGGAGUGAAAAAGAACCUGAAACCGUGUACGUACAAGCAGUGGGAGCACAGGUUUACCUGUGUGACUGCGUACCUUUUGUAUAAUGGGUCAGCGACUUAUAUUCUGUAGCAAGGUUAACCGAAUAGGGGAGCCGUAGGGAAACCGAGUCUUAACCGGGCGUUAAGUUGCAGGGUAUAGACCCGAAACCCGGUGAUCUAGCCAUGGGCAGGUUGAAGGUUGGGUAACACUAACUGGAGGACCGAACCGACUAAUGUUGAAAAAUUAGCGGAUGACCUGUGGCUGGGGGUGAAAGGCCAAUCAAACCGGGAGAUAGCUGGUUCUCCCCGAAAGCUAUUUAGGUAGCGCCUCGUGAAUUCAUCUCCGGGGGUAGAGCACUGUUUCGGCUAGGGGGCCAUCCCGGCUUACCAACCCGAUGCAAACUGCGAAUACCGGAGAAUGUUAUCACGGGAGACACACGGCGGGUGCUAACGUCCGUCGUGAAGAGGGAAACAACCCAGACCGCCAGCUAAGGUCCCAAAGUCAUGGUUAAGUGGGAAACGAUGUGGGAAGGCCCAGACAGCCAGGAUGUUGGCUUAGAAGCAGCCAUCAUUUAAAGAAAGCGUAAUAGCUCACUGGUCGAGUCGGCCUGCGCGGAAGAUGUAACGGGGCUAAACCAUGCACCGAAGCUGCGGCAGCGACGCUUAUGCGUUGUUGGGUAGGGGAGCGUUCUGUAAGCCUGUGAAGGUGGCCUGUGAGGGUUGCUGGAGGUAUCAGAAGUGCGAAUGCUGACAUAAGUAACGAUAAAGCGGGUGAAAAGCCCGCUCGCCGGAAGACCAAGGGUUCCUGUCCAACGUUAAUCGGGGCAGGGUGAGUCGACCCCUAAGGCGAGGCCGAAAGGCGUAGUCGAUGGGAAACGGGUUAAUAUUCCCGUACUUGGUGUUACUGCGAAGGGGGGACGGAGAAGGCUAUGUUGGCCGGGCGACGGUUGUCCCGGUUUAAGCGUGUAGGCUGGUUUUCCAGGCAAAUCCGGAAAAUCAAGGCUGAGGCGUGACGACGAGGCACUACGGUGCUGAAGCAACAAAUGCCCUGCUUCCAGGAAAAGCCUCUAAGCAUCAGGUAACAUCAAAUCGUACCCCAAACCGACACAGGUGGUCAGGUAGAGAAUACCAAGGCGCUUGAGAGAACUCGGGUGAAGGAACUAGGCAAAAUGGUGCCGUAACUUCGGGAGAAGGCACGCUGACACGUAGGUGAAGUGAUUUACUCAUGGAGCUGAAGUCAGUCGAAGAUACCAGCUGGCUGCAACUGUUUAUUAAAAACACAGCACUGUGCAAACACGAAAGUGGACGUAUACGGUGUGACGCCUGCCCGGUGCCGGAAGGUUAAUUGAUGGGGUCAGCGCAAGCGAAGCUCCUGAUCGAAGCCCCGGUAAACGGCGGCCGUAACUAUAACGGUCCUAAGGUAGCGAAAUUCCUUGUCGGGUAAGUUCCGACCUGCACGAAUGGCGUAAUGAUGGCCAGGCUGUCUCCACCCGAGACUCAGUGAAAUUGAACUCGCUGUGAAGAUGCAGUGUACCCGCGGCAAGACGGAAAGACCCCGUGAACCUUUACUAUAGCUUGACACUGAACAUUGAGCCUUGAUGUGUAGGAUAGGUGGGAGGCUUUGAAGCGUGGACGCCAGUCUGCGUGGAGCCGACCUUGAAAUACCACCCUUUAAUGUUUGAUGUUCUAACGUGGACCCGUAAUCCGGGUUGCGGACAGUGUCUGGUGGGUAGUUUGACUGGGGCGGUCUCCUCCUAAAGAGUAACGGAGGAGCACGAAGGUUGGCUAAUCCUGGUCGGACAUCAGGAGGUUAGUGCAAUGGCAUAAGCCAGCUUGACUGCGAGCGUGACGGCGCGAGCAGGUGCGAAAGCAGGUCAUAGUGAUCCGGUGGUUCUGAAUGGAAGGGCCAUCGCUCAACGGAUAAAAGGUACUCCGGGGAUAACAGGCUGAUACCGCCCAAGAGUUCAUAUCGACGGCGGUGUUUGGCACCUCGAUGUCGGCUCAUCACAUCCUGGGGCUGAAGUAGGUCCCAAGGGUAUGGCUGUUCGCCAUUUAAAGUGGUACGCGAGCUGGGUUUAGAACGUCGUGAGACAGUUCGGUCCCUAUCUGCCGUGGGCGCUGGAGAACUGAGGGGGGCUGCUCCUAGUACGAGAGGACCGGAGUGGACGCAUCACUGGUGUUCGGGUUGUCAUGCCAAUGGCACUGCCCGGUAGCUAAAUGCGGAAGAGAUAAGUGCUGAAAGCAUCUAAGCACGAAACUUGCCCCGAGAUGAGUUCUCCCUGAGACUUAGAGUCUCCUGAAGGAACGUUGAAGACGACGACGUUGAUAGGCCGGGUGUGUAAGCGCAGCGAUGCGUUGAGCUAACCGGUACUAAUGAACCGUGAGGCUUAACCUUACAACGCCGAAG